GGGAACUCACUUGUAUUAAAUGUCUACCAGGUGCACUUUGCAUCCACCAUCUCACUUUAAUCUUCACGCUGGGCCCUGAGGAAAGGUACCUUCAUUUUGCAAACGGGUCAAAAGACCUCAAGAGAGAGCAAGUCAUUUGCUCAGUCACUUGGGUUGAGUAAGGGGCAGAGCUCCCGGCUAACCAUCAGAUAAGGCACGAUGAGUGGUGGAAAUGCCAGGGCACGUUGUUAUGAAAGGGUGGCACUCUGUUAUGAAAGAGGUGGCGGAGGGUGAGCAGUAUCCACAAGUAGGCGGCUGGAAGUGGAUCAGGAAAGGUCACUGAAGGUUGCUGGGCCUAGAUGCUUGUCAGGACAGGGCUGCAGUAGAGCUCUGCAGGGGGCCAUUCUAUGGGGUAAGGGCCAGAGGGCAAAAUGGAAGACUACUCCAGCUCUUCUGAGGGUUCCUGCCUUGCAGUUUUGGGGACACUUGCAAUCACAUUCUCACUGGGUCUAUGAAGGAAUCCCUGAGGUCAAUUUUGCAGAUGUUGCAGCUGAAUGGGUGGCGGAGCUUCAAGAGGAGCUAAUGGGGCUCUUGGAAUUCACAACUCCAGCAAGUAAGAUGCCGUCCUUUGAGGCUGACGCCUACAGCACCCAUACCUGUUAAACUACAGAAAACCACAUACCGUAGAAGAAAAGUGCAGAUGUAACACUGGAAUAUCCUGUGACCAUGGGCACAAAAGCCCAAUGCUAAGGACAGUGGUGUGGAAAAAUAGAGCCGAGUCCCUGGAGGCAUCAGUGAGCACUAGAACCAAGGCCGGCAGCUGCCUAUGUACCUCUUUCUCAAGUGAGGGAAAAACAAUCUCCGUUUAAAUCACGGAACCGUUUUUUGCUACCUGCAGCCGAAUGCACUCGUAUUUAACACAGCAACAUGGGGCCUAACCCGCCUCAUAGCUAGUCCUGCUUCCCCAUAAACCAACUAGCAAGCAGGGAAAGUUCUAAUUUCCUGAGAUUCCUCCAAAGAUGUAUUGUCCUUGAGUAAAAUUACAGGCCUUCUCCCACUUCACGCUACCAAGACCCUGUGGGGUUCUAGCAAUUUAUGAGAUCUGUGGACUCACUCUCCAGAAAAUGCCCAGGCGAAGCAACUCUGCCGCCACCCUGCA